AGAUGGCGACUGUGACAGCUGAAAAAUGCGGCAAUUCCAGUCAACUGUUCUUAUCAUAACAAACACAAUUUUGGCUUUUAAAAGUUUAUUAUUUUUUUCAGCUGUGAAACGAAUGAAUAAUAUCAAUCUUGUGGAAUGGCGACUUCACCAUGUGCCAUCAAGUAUUUGGAUCGUGAAACAAUUGGUAAAAUAUCUGCUGGUAAGGUAAUUCCUAGUCUUGCUAAUGUCGUCAAGGAAUUGAUUGAAAAUUCUCUUGAUGCUCAUGCUACCUACAUUGAAUUGCGAUUCGUUGAAUAUGGUAAGCAAUUGAUUGAAUUGUCUGAUGAUGGUUGUGGUAUUCAAGAAGAUGAUUUCCCUCAACUUGCCCUGCCUCAUUACACCUCUAAACUCAAGCAUUACCGUGAUUUGGGAUCUGUUAAAACAUUUGGUUUCAGAGGUGAAGCCUUAGCAUCCAUUGCUGAAUUGUCCGAAUUAUCAAUUAUAACUAGACAUGAAUCGAAAGAAGUAGCCAGUGAACUGAGUUUCAAUAACUUUGGGGAACUCAUCGGAGUCAAACCAACAGCAAGACCAGUCGGAACUACUGUGCGAAUCAAAAAUCUUUUCUACAGCUACCCAGUUCGAAGGAAAGAAUUUGAAACUACUUAUAUGAAACAAUUUAAUAACAUGAUGCAAUUCAUCUGCCCAUAUGCACUAGGGUUUACAAAUCUUCGACUGCUAGUUACUAAUUAUAUAAAUGGACGCAAAAAUGAAGUUCUUAAUAUCGAACCAAAAUCCAUUAAGGAUAAUAUUAUUCAAUUACUUGGUUGUAAACAGAUGAAAACAAUUCAAACAUUUGUCCAGUGUCCCAUUAGAGAUGCAGUUGCUUCUGAAUACAAGCUGAAUAGUUCAUAUAAAGAAGAUGAAAAAGAGAUUUCGAUUUCUGGUUAUGUUUCUCAUGGAGAUAAAGGACCUAGCAAAUUGAAGAAGGUGUAUUUUUUCAUGAAUCGUCGCCCUGCCAAUUAUCAACCGCUCGAAAAAUUUAUACUAUCGGUUUAUAAAGAGAUCAACCAGACAAUAAACCCAUUUGUGUUGUUAUUUGUAGAUUUGGGUAAACAUGAAAUUGACUUCAGUGUACAUCCAGAUAAGAGAACAUUUUCGUUGCCAAAUGAGAAUCUUUUAUUCGCCAUUCUCAAAUCAUCUUUAUUAACUAUGUUUGAAACGAAUACAGUUUGCCUGGAUUCGGUUAAACCUUCAGCUCUACCAAGUUCUCAAUCAGUGGUUAGUCUAUGCCCUUCAAUACCCAGUUCCUCAAAUAAAAGACCUUUGGAGGAUGAUGAUGAUUUACCCGAAUUAGAUGCAGAUGAACUUCGCUCUUUAAACUCAUUCGUCCAUACAACUUCACUCAGAUGUAGCUCACCAGCUGAUUCCUACAUGCGACACUCACCAAUCAGCAAACAAAAUCAGAAUCAAAACCAAGGCGGUACUCCUUUGCGACCUUCAAAUACUAGCUUAGACUUGCACACUCAGAACUUAGGUAAUUUGCAGUCCGAUGAAAUGAAUUCAUUUGAGGAAACUCCGUCUGAGGUUGGUGUUUUCAAUCCUGUCCGAAAUAUACUUAAUGAAUCUGAAAAGGAUGACGAGGAGAAUCAAUCGUUCCAAACCAGACAAAGAGAACCUCUCAUUCCACAUGCAUCUAAAGACCGGCCAAGAUAUGUUUCAGAGUUUGAAAAAGAAACCAGAUCGAAUAAAACAAUGAAUAGUUCUGGGUUGAGGAGUUUAUCGAAAUUUGCUUUUAGCAAAAACAGAAGAAAAGACCAAAAUAACAAGUCAGAUCAAAUGUCUAUCAAAGAUAUGUUCUCUACAUUGCCCAAAAAUCGAUCAUCUGAUGAUCUAGAUAAAACUAAUAACCUCAAUUCAGUAUCUUUAGAAACAUCUACAGAUAAUCAAAAUCCUACUUCCACACCUAUGACAUCAUCUCCAUCUGCUAAUGGUAAUAAUGUUAUGGCACUUCCUCCAAUUCCUGAUUGCAGUCAAAUUCCUAAAGAUGUCAUUUCAGUUGAUCUAACAGCACCAGAAUCAACAUCAUCGUCGUUAGAAGUUGUUAGUGAUCAAAGACUAAAUGCAAAGGACCGGAAAAGUCAAUCAAAGAAAAUUAUUACCGACACUCCAAUGAUUAUGAUUGAUAAAAAAAGAGUAAAAUUCUGUACAGAAAUUUCUGAAGAGAAACUUGCAGCUUACUAUGGUAAAGUAAACGCUCCACCAGUUGCCAAGAGUUCAGUUUUUUUCACAAAAUUAACUGAUUGCUCAGAUCAAUCUCAAGCGGAAGAUGAGUUGAAGCGACAGAUGAGAAAGGAAGCUUUCAGUGCCUUGGAUAUCAUUGGACAAUUCAACAAAGCAUUCAUCAUUGGCAAAUUAGAUGAUGAUGUCUUUAUAAUUGAUCAACAUGCAAGUGAUGAACGGUAUAAUUUUGAAGAUUUACUAGAAAAUACAAGUUUUGAAUCUCAACGCCUAGUUAACCCGAUUCCUCUGGGAUUGACGUGUUACCAAGAAUCAAUAGUUGCAAAUAAUUUAAAUACAUUUGAAAGGUUGUCUUUUAAAAUUGUGAUGAACGAUAAUGCUCCUCCUGGAUCGAAAGCCGUUCUGGUUUCUGUCCCUACAAGCCAAGAUGCUGUUUUUGGUAAAACAGAAAUCGAAGAAAUAUUGUCAAAAAUGGAAGAAACUGGAAGCGAUUGUUACAACUAUAAACCAGAAAAAAUGGUGCGAAUGAUUGCAUCUAGAGCGUGCCGUAAAUCAAUUAUGAUCAAUGAUCCUCUUGACCAUAAAAGAAUGCGAAAUGUUCUGAAUAAUCUUACAAAAUUAAAAAAUCCUUGGAUCUGUGCACAUGGUCGACCUACAGUUCGAUUCCUGUUCAAUAUCAAUGAGAUUAUCUUGUAAUCAUUUAAGACUUAAAUCUAAUGUAAAAAUUUUUAAAUUAAGAAAUGUUACAUAAUAUGCUGUUGAAUUUAGCUCGAACAUCUUUUCCAUCGACUUUGCCAAGCAAACAUUUAGUUGGAUUUUGAUUACCAAAGAUUAAUUUAUCACUACAAAUCGUUGAUCUAUUCAUUAAUUUUUCCACCUCUUAAGAUUAAAUCCGUUUUUUUACAUACUUUUAUGAUUUUUUCAAGUACCUAUCAACAUAAUUAAUUGCUAAGCAUUAUUAGCAUCACUCUUCUAUUUUUAGUUCAAUAUUUCACAAGAAUUGCGUUUUAAUAAAUUGAAUCUCGCUCACUAUUUUAUCAUAUGCUCUCAAAUUUUCACUGCCAUCUAUGAACUAUUCACUAUCAUAAAGUAUGAGUAAUUUAAAGAAGCUGAUUCAAAUAUACUUCAUAGAUUCUUAUUUCUCAUUAAAAAUUUAUUUCUAAUCAUAUUUAAAGGUUAUUUUACGUGUUAAAUUUGAAUAAACAAUGCGUUUAUUGUUUUGUGUUUUUAAAUAAAGCUUUAAAUUAUUAAUCUUAGUUAUUUCAUCGACUUGUUUCAUCUGUUUAAUCAUCUUCAUAUCUUUUCAACGUUGUCGCCAUCUUUUGGCUUUCCUCCCCCUUUUCCCCUAGCUUCAAGCCUUCAUUUUAUUGUAUGUUUGCACUGUAAGUUAAUCCAGGAUCAAAAUGGAUGAUUAUGAAUGUAGACCCAUGGAUAUAUCAGACGAUGAAAAUGAAAAUCAGAUUUCGGCCAUCAGUUAGUUUAAAUUAUGUAAAGAAUGAACUAGCUUUCGAGGACGCCGAUGAGAUGCUACAGUUCUUAAACCAAUUUGCCAUUGUAUACCUUGAUCCACAAACGAUCGACUGCAAGAACAGCCAAGUAACCCCGAGUACUCAAUGAAAAAGUCUAAUGCAAAAUAUAUUUAUGACUUUUUCACGCUACCGGGACUAUUUUUUUGUUUUAAAAGGAUGAACUUAAAGGCUUCCAAAACUGUGCUCCUUAACUCCAAAACUUAAACUUGGUAUUGGUUGAAGGGCAUUUACAUCACCUAAAGCAGAUAGAAGUGUAAAAGCUAAGGCCAAUAAGACUGAGCCAAUUAAAUCACCAAAAGCUGUUAGAAAAGGUAGAGCUGAAUUAUCUGGAUUAAAUCCUUUUCUCCAUAUAAAAUGAACCAAUGUGUAGGAGACUUGAAUCAGUAUGGAAACUUGAAUAACUGCAGCAAUCAUAUAAACAGUUAAAAAUGUACCUGUCAUUGUAAAAUGAUCUCGAACCAAUUUUAUUACAAAAAUAAAUAAUAAAUGACUAGGUAUUGAUAGUAAUAACAAAAAUCGAGCCAUAAUUGUAUGAUCACCUGUAAAAGAAAAGGUAAGAAUUAACUAUCAACUGAUUGUCAUUUAUCAUAAAUAAACUGUUAUAUUCACAAUUAAA